rnacentral:lncRNA from 1 species
UCAGUUAGCAGCAGUGCAGAAAGGCUAAUCGCUGCUUAACAUCUUCUCUGGUUGUUUCCUAGCCCCACGGACGUGGCACUGGAAUACUGGUGAUAAGGAAACUUGUGGACAUUUCUACCCAUCUUGGCAAAAUGAAUAUUCUUGGAAGGGCAUGCAGAAGUGUUAGACGUGGACAUUCAUAUCCACUCACCCUCUGAUUUGUCACAGGCAGGAUCACUGCAAAGGAUGUAUAUGCCUGUCCUCUGAAAGCGAAAGACAUGUAUGAAAGGAGAAUUCACCUCUGCUUGAAUUCAGGGUAUUGAAGGUCUGUUAGGAAAACCCUUCCUGCAGGUGCGGAUGCCUUCCAGCGCUCCGUUAGAGACCAACUAGAGUAAGAGGAGAAUGAACAUGUGGUGACUGAAGAACUGCUGCAGUUCUCGUUGGUGAAGUUGAURCACAUCUGCUUGAAGCUGUUGAACUGCAGAGAAGAGCAGGCUGGUUGUGUAAGGCAUUUGCUGACCUGCCUUUGAGAUGUGUCCCUCAGCUCUAAACAGAAAAACUCAGCUGCUGGUGGCAGGAAAUAAACUGCAGGGAAAUCCCACCUGGCUGAGGAUCCCUCAGGCUGCUCUACAGCC